CUUUGUCCAAAAUUGGUGACGUGUCAGAUCCACCAUUUUUCAACUGCAAACAUCCAUCCAAAUAAAAUAUUAUGAAUUAAUGAAUCAGUGAAAAUAUUGGAAAAAGAAUUUUUAAAUUACCAUUAAAAAUGUUUCCCCGCAUUUUCCGUCACUCUUAGGAGAGAACGAAAUCACGUCCGAGCAAUUGGAUGCUGCAAGGAGAAGAAUUGAAUUACUUUUUCAGUUUUCACAAGUCUACAACAAGAUCCACUUACGAGGCAGGGACGAUGGUCCUUUGGGUACCUGAAGCCAUUCGAGAAGGAAGGAACUACCACUGAACAGAUAAUUAUUGGACAUUUUAAUAUAAGCCAUAUUACUGCUUGUGGUUACGUGCUCCGGUAAUUCCAAGCCGCAUUCAUCUAGUAACUCUGGAGCAUCACUAUCAUACCCAUCGUAAAUCUAUAAAAGAUGAAAAUCAUCGCAUGAACAUUUUUGUGAAAAUCAAGGAAGUUUAUUCUAAUGAUAUAUCCAUCAUCCACGGUAACUCGCCAGGUAUGUGAUUGAGCCUUUAGGUAAAGUUUUGGAUACAUCGGAGAAGAAAUCUUUCCACUUACUCCAUGAAUAUCAUUACCA